rnacentral:rRNA from 1 species
AGCGAACGCUGGCGGCAGGCCUAACACAUGCAAGUCGAACGAACCCUUCGGGGUUAGUGGCGGACGGGUGAGUAACACGUGGGAACGUGCCCUUUGGUUCGGAACAACUCAGGGAAACUUGAGCUAAUACCGAAUGUGCCCUUCGGGGGAAAGAUUUAUCGCCAUUGGAGCGGCCCGCGUCUGAUUAGCUUGUUGGUGAGGUAAAGGCUCACCAAGGCUACGAUCAGUAGCUGGUCUGAGAGGAUGAUCAGCCACAUUGGGACUGAGACACGGCCCAAACUCCUACGGGAGGCAGCAGUGGGGAAUCUUGCGCAAUGGGCGAAAGCCUGACGCAGCCAUGCCGCGUGAAUGAUGAAGGUCUUAGGAUUGUAAAAUUCUUUCACCGGGGACGAUAAUGACGGUACCCGGAGAAGAAGCCCCGGCUAACUUCGUGCCAGCAGCCGCUGUAAAAC